AGCGAACGUUAGCGGCGCGCCUAACACAUGCAAGUCGCACGAGAAACGGAGCAAUCCGCGGUACAGUGGCGCACGGGUGAGUAACACGUGGAUGACCUUCCCUGGAGUGGUGGAUAACCUGCCGAAAGGCGGGCUAAUACAGCAUGGGACCACGACGCUUUGGCGAUGUGGUGAAAGCGGGCCUCUAUAUAUAAGCUCGCGCUCCGGGACGGGUCCGCGUCCCAUCAGCUAGUUGGUGAGGUAACGGCUCACCAAGGCAACGACGGGUAGCUGGUCUGAGAGGAUGGCCAGCCACACUGGAACUGAGACACGGUCCAGACUCCUACGGGAGGCAGCAGUGGGGAAUCUUGCGCAAUGGGCGAAAGCCUGACGCAGCGACGCCGCGUGGGCGAAGAAGGCCUCGGUGUAAGCCUGUGGGNGAGACGUACGGGCGGACGACCUCCGUCGCCUGACGGUACGUCCUUUACGUCAAGCAUCGGCUAACUCUGUGCC
rnacentral:rRNA from 1 species